CAGACUCGAGCAGCUUAUCCAGUCAUAUGACCUACAGAAUGUACAGGGGUUCAUCCAAUCAUUGGCUAGUGAGUUCAUGCUGAUCUAUGAAGACAUUGAAGCCCAGCUGGUGAAUGUGACAGGUUGGAUGGAAUUCAAAGCCGAUCUUACUAUUCUCAUGACCGUGCUCAAGUACACAACACCAUUCCUAGGCAAUGGGACCAGUGCAGGUGAUGAGCCCAUCUCUCUGUCAAUGCUGGUCCCUAACGCCACAGCGCUAGAGUUCCUCCUGGCUCAGA